GACGAACGCUGGCGGCGUGCCUAAUACAUGCAAGUCGAACGCACUCUCGUUUAGAUUGAAGGAGCUUGCUCCUGAUUGAUAAACAUUUGAGUGAGUGGCGGACGGGUGAGUAACACGUGGGUAACCUGCCCUAAAGUGGGGGAUAACAUUUGGAAACAGAUGCUAAUACCGCAUAAAACCUAAACACCGCAUGGUGUAGGGUUGAAAGAUGGUUUCGGCUAUCACUUUAGGAUGGACCCGCGGUGCAUUAGUUAGUUGGUGAGGUAAAGGCUCACCAAGACCGUGAUGCAUAGCCGACCUGAGAGGUAAUCGGCCACACUGGGACUGAGACACGGCCCAGACCUCCUACGGGAGGCAGCAGUA
rnacentral:rRNA from 1 species